rnacentral:tRNA from 1 species
GUGGGGCUGGGCCUCAGCGGUAGAGCGCUCGCCUAGCAUGUGCAAGGCUCUGGGUUCAAUCCCCAGCACCACA